CGCCACAGCUUAGAUGGGGUCUCGCUGUCCUCUACCCACCCUGGACCUACGACAAGGCUCCAGGGUCCAGUGGGUGAACCUCUCCUCCAAGAGAGAGUAGCAGUAACAAGCUCUUAAAAGAGCUUAGUGAUUAUAGCCCAGGGGAGUAUACAGAGUAUAGCAUUCCCCCAGUGUAGAUGCAAUCUUUCCCUCCACACAUGAGACGAGGCUCUAUGUUGAGGGAAAAACAGAAACUCAGCAGAUCUGAGGGAUUAUUGUCUUUUAUACAGUUUUCCCCACAAGGUUACCACCCAGGUGGACCUUGUAGAGCACAGGACACAGUCACAAAGCCAAUCAGAACAGUAUUGUACUCUGCCUGUGAUACAAUUAACAAACACAAUGGGCUAACUCAAUUAACUGUAAACAGAAAAAAUAUACAUUUUUACAAACCCCAAAAUACAACAUAUCCUCACAUCUCCUGAUAGCCCCGAUCUGGGUGAACAACAUAUCCAAAAAUCACCCAGAUCAGUUCAGGAAUUUCCUGGAAGUCUUAUUUUUGCCCCACCGUGCACAUAGUCCCAUACCCAAAACAGUUCCAUACACUCGACGACAAAACACUGCUGGACAUUUUAAGAUAGCCACCGCCACGUUUGAAAGGGGCAUUGUGCUAAGUCCCCAUAUGCACAAAUAGUGUUUUUAAAAGGCAAUACACCCCAGGGCCCAUAGUCACAGGGCAAGAGGCUGGCAAGCAGGCCUCUCUAAACCCAGUGGCGAGGUUACUUUCGCCACACCAAUUUACCAUCAUUUGGUUUACAGAUCAUGUGAGACACAUAACAAAUAGAGGGAAAUGCAGGAGGAGCAGUAAAUCUAUAUGUAUAUAUUAUAUAUUUAUUAACUAAAUAUUAUAUAAUAUAUCAAUCUGGAUUAUUUUUUUUAACUGCUCCUCUUUUUUUUCCCCCAUCUUUUGGUAACUUCUCACUUGAUCUGUGAAUAAAAUCAACAUUUAAUAAAUGUUUCCUAGCCAUCAAUCUUCUUAUUUUUCCUCCAUCAAUUACCUCUUUUUUUGUCAGCGCAAACAUGUUUGGUUUGUGAUAAGGAUACAUUCCAAGGCAGAGUUCGGGAAAUUGAUCAACCAAUUGGCCCAGAUUUAGAUGAACUGCAGUUUUGACCAAAACGAAUCUCCAACAUAAUUUGGCAAUUUGAUUCAUAGAAUUUAUACUAGAAUAACUCACAUAAUUACUCAUUAAAUUGCCAAAUGUUGUCAAUUCAAAAGGAAUUUAAAGUGAAUUUCAGAUUUUAUGCCAAAAUGAAAUAGGAGGCUUGGAGAAUGCUUCAAUGCUUCCAAUUCUGCUAUUUUGUCGUAAAAUAUGAAAUACAGCUGAAAAAAGAUUCCAACACUAAGGCAAAUUGGGGAAGCAGCCAAGUUGGAAAAAAAUUUCAACUGUGUGCUGUUAACUAGUUUGUUCUAGAGCAGGGGUUCUCAACCCAGUCCUCGGGACCC